rnacentral:rRNA from 1 species
UACGAAGGGUGCAAGCGUUAAUCGGAAUUACUGGGCGUAAAGGGUGCGUAGGCGGUUGUUUAAGUCUGUCGUGAAAUCCCCGGGCUCAACCUGGGAAUGGCGAUGGACACUGGGCAGCUAGAGUGUGUCAGAGGAUGGUGGAAUUCCCGGUGUAGCGGUGAAAUGCGUAGAGAUCGGGAGGAACAUCAGUGGCGAAGGCGGCCAUCUGGGACAACACUGACGCUGAAGCACGAAAGCGUGGGGAGCAAACAGG